UACGUAGGGCCCGAGCGUUGUCCGGAUUCAUUGGGCGUAAAGAGCUCGUAGGCGGCCACUCAAGUCGAAUGUGAAACCUCGAGGCUUAACCUCGAGCCUGCAUUCGAUACUGGGCGGCUAGAGUCUGGUAGGGGGAUCUGGAAUUCCUGGUGUAGCGGUGGAAUGCGCAGAUAUCAGGAGGAACACCGGUGGCGAAGGCGGCCUUCUGGACAGUGACUGACGCUGAGACGCGAAAGCGUGGGGAGCAAACAGG
rnacentral:rRNA from 1 species